GACGAACGCUGGCGGCGUGCUUAACACAUGCAAGUCGAACGGAAAGGCCCUGCAUUUGUGGGGUGCUCGAGUGGCGAACGGGUGAGUAACACGUGAGUAACCUGCCCUUGACUUUGGGAUAACUUCAGGAAACUGGGGCUAAUACCGGAUAGGAGCUCCUGCUGCAUGGUGGGGGUGGGAAAGUUUCGGCGGUUGGGGAUGGACUCGCGGCUUAUCAGCUUGUUGGUGGGGUAGUGGCUUACCAAGGCUUUGACGGGUAGCCGGCCUGAGAGGGUGACCGGCCACAUUGGGACUGAGAUACGGCCCAGACUCCUACGGGAGGCAGCAGUGGGGAAUAUUGCACAAUGGGCGGAAGCCUGAUGCAGCAACGCCGCGUGCGGGAUGACGGCCUUCGGGUUGUAACCCGCUUUCGCCUGUGACGAAGCGUGAGUGACGGUAAUGGGUAAAGAAGCACCGGCUAACUACGUG
rnacentral:rRNA from 1 species